GUGGGGAAUAUUGGGCAAUGGGGGCAACCCUGACCCAGCGACGCCGCGUGAGGGAAGAAGGCCUUAGGGUCGUAAACCUCUGUUGUGUGGGAAGAAGGAAGUGACGGUACCACACGAGGAAGUCCCGGCUAACUACGUGCCAGCAGCCGCGGUAAUACGUAGGGGACGAGCGUUGUCCGGAAUUACUGGGCGUAAAGGGCGCGUAGGCGGUCAUUUAAGUCAGCUGUGAAAUGGUCCGGCUCAACCGGAUCAUGCGGUUGAAACUGGAUGACUGGAGUGCUGGAGAGGCAAGUGGAAUGCCCAGUGUAGCGGUGAAAUGCGUAGAUAUUGGGAAGAACACCGGUGGCGAAGGCGACUUGCUGGCCAGCAACUGACGCUGAGGCGCGAAAGCCAGGGGAGCAAACGGGAUUAGAUACCCCGGUAGUCC
rnacentral:rRNA from 1 species